UUUAUUUUGCUGGAGACCCUUGUAUGCUUGAGGACCUUAUAUGCAUUUUGAAGACCCUGCUGCACUUAAUUAAGAGCUGGAUCCUUCAGACAGCAGCCCCCAGCAGUAUCACAAAGGAGCACGUGUGUAAGGGAAAAGCAAGCAUUUCCCAUGCAAACCAGGGCUUGCAUGCUCUGCCAGGUCAAUUACAAGCUUUUGCAGCCACAGAGGAAACAGUUUUUUCUCCCUUUUAUUAAAAUGGCUGCUCCAUCCCGUUGCGGAUUGAAAGAGCUACUUGGCUGCCCAUGGAUCCCAGAUGACCUCUAGCCACAAGACCAGGCCUUUACCAGAAAGGAGGGGGAACCAUCAAUCUCUAAAUGAAGACAUUGUCCUCCUGAUUAUCUCUUUGUUGCCAGUGGUGUGUGAGGCUACAGAAAGGAAAAGCGAGCAGUUCCAAGAUGGCUGUGGGCAAAGGAGCGUGUCCUGGCCUUGAUGAGGCUUUUAUUCUGUCUGGCACCGCACAAACUGCUCUGUCAGCAAGAGAUGUCUCUAUACAUUAGGCAUGAAUUUUCUGGGAAAAACUAGGACUCUUUUUCCCCCUCCUCCCACCACCACUCACAUGUAGCACGUCUCUCCUGCCCAAGUGUUGUGGCAAUCUGUUAUGUCUUGAGGUUCCACUGUCUUCCUCCCUUGCUGGGGCUUGGAUGAACCUGUCCAUAUAUAUUUAGAGUCAGGAGAGAAAGGUUCUGACAGAUACAGGCAGGGAGCAGGCAUCUGUCAGAUGGGACUCGAUGGAGGGAGGGAGAAGCCAUAAAUGGAUGUCUGAGCUGAGCUAGUGAAGGUCUUAAGAAUCCAUAGAUUACGUCACCUGGUCUUUAAUUUACUGCAGUGGACAAAAAAUAAAAAAAGAGUACUGGAGUAGUUUGCAUGGAAGGACUUUAGGUUGGUGACUAGGAGGAACUUCCAGAGUAAUAGGAAUUGGUAUAUAGGAUUUCUGUCUGUGAAGGAUAGAGGACAGACUUCAUGCACCUUGUUCUGAGGAGGUAACACGAGCAUUCUGCUAGGGGCAUGGAGAAAGGGACUGUGUAUUGAAAGAAUGGAGCACAGAGGUAUCAUAGUCACUGGGCUUCAGUAGUAACUUUGUUCAUAGAUGGAAUUUCUUCCUACCUUCUCCAUAUCUUCCCCCCCUUGUGCCAGUUGCAAUCUUAGUUCCUGCCUUUACAGCACUGAUUAGCAACCUGGUCUCUUGUAUCUCAGCAUCCAGUGCUUGUUGUCUCUGACUUCAUCAGCUGAAAAUCUCUUGGUGUCCUCCUGAUCUUGGCCUUGGCUACGCAGCGUUCCUUUUUGUGUAUGUGUUUUCAUCUUUGUCCUCCUGUAACUUAUUUGGUGGCUCAGAAUUCACUACAGCUUGUUUUUUUUGUUGUUUUUGUUUGUUUGUUUGCUAUUGUUCUUAUAAAACCUGGAUCCUGAGAGGUUUGUGAAGAUCUUCUGACUUUGGUAUCUUCAUUGCAGCAGCCUGUCCUUUUAGCUCAGCACUCUCUUAAAUGAGUGGUGCACCCACCUCUCUUCAGCAAGGAGCAGAGUGCUUUCCAUGGGACUUAAAGUCCCAGCUUUCUGUCUCACCGGUCUCUCAGUUAGUUGCUAACUUUGUACUCAUGAGAGGGUACUGCAGUGUUACGAUAUCCUUAUUCCCAAAUACUUGGGGGGAAGUUAUCGUAGGCACAGAUUCCUUUUUGCAGCCAAAUUGCAUACAUUCUGCCAACGCAUACUAUCCAAGCACAGUGAAUCAUGCAUUGCGAAGUGCCCCUUCAGUUUCUAAUUAGCACAUCUAGACUGAGCAGCCUCAAGUUUUUCCAUGUAUCUAUAUAGAAAACAAGCUAGCGUUAAUAAGGCAGACACCUUAUAAAAUGUGUCUGGGGAACAAAGCUGCAAGAAAAGGCUUCCAUUUUGCCAGCCACUGGGUUAUGUGACCUGAAGAGAUGAGCUAACUGUUUUUAUAGCUUCUCUGAGUUGACUGUUUAGAGCUAGCCCAGAGUGUGUAACUUUUAGUUUUGCUAGGAUGUGAUGCUGCUUGUUCCCCUCCUGCAGAAGCUUAAAAUGCUAUUCAAGCCACCUCCUGUCCACUACGCAUUUCCUACAAGUGCUUCCACUUUCAGAUCUAUUUCAUCUCCAUGAAAUGGGGAUAUCACAAUUAUAUCAGUUCACCAUAACCCAAGGACAGCUGCACAGCAAACUCUUUAUCUCUAGCUGGGUGUCAUUUACUGAGGCUCAUGAGCCUCACUCUUCCUCUGUGCCCCAAAAAACUCAGAUUGCUGCAGCUCCACCACACCUGAGUGCCUGGGGCACUGCCUGGCUCCUGCUGAAAUUAGCUAGGUAUUGGUGGAGAUGCUGCCAUGGUCCACUGAAAUCUCACAGGCUUUCACCCUCAAACCCUCACUGAGGAAGGAGGUUACACGGUGCAGCUGCACUCCAAGUUAGCGUGAUGGUGUGUGUUGCUGCCAGUGGUGGCUGAACACCAUCAUGAGGCAGGAAUUUCUCCUUGUGGUGUUGCCUCCUCACUCAGCAGCCUCUUCACCGAAUUGUCACUUUUGAGAAGGGCAGGACACUUAUUAGGCAGUUAUUCCACUCAUUGCACAUCUGUUCUUUCUUGUGAUGAGCCGGAACAUUCCCUGCUGCACCAAAACAUAGGCUUGGCUUUUAGGACAUCAGUCUGAGCCCAGUAUAAUAAGGAAUCUUUUUUUCCAUCCACCAUUCCAAGCCUGUGUUGAAAUUCAAUUUGGGUUGGAGGACAAUCUCUGAGGCAAACAAUCCCCAGUGAGUAUUUCCAAAGAGGCUUGAAUAUACUCUUUUGAAGACAUCAGUGGUUGCCCUGGGGCCUUCCAGCCUUUGCACUGCUCCACACACAAGGCAACCAGGAACAUGGAGUUUAUUGAACAUGUUGGUUUCCAUAUGUCCACAACGUUGAGGGCUCCAGUGUCUGUCAUAUCUAUCAUUCUGAAGAUUCUGCAUGCAUUAAGCUCCUGCCAUUAGAGAUGCAGGCUUCUUGCUCCAGCAUCACUUGAUGCUUUAGCAGCUGCUCAAUUUCCAUUCAGACAGGCCUGUCUAUUGCUUUCCACUGCUAUUUUGUCUCCAGUCUUGCCCAUGGGAGGGAUGAGUAAGUGAUGGGGAGGAGGUGGGCACCGACGGCUCUGACAGAGGCAUGUUUAUACUGGAUGUUCAUGUUGUUCCUCCAUAUCCAACAGAGUACAGUCCGUCUCCCCUGCACAGUGAGGGGUGCACAAAGCAUUUCUGUGUGUUCAGAGGGAGCUGUGCUGAUAUUGCCUCUGGCUCCUUGUGUGCAAUUGGGAGGCUCAGAUGCGGUCAUUGCCUUCUGAAGCCCUCACUGACUCAGACCUCCUACUUGCGUCUGGUGGGAUUAAGCCAUCUUGGCUGUGAGUCGGGAACCAUCUGCAGGCCUGGAGUUCCUUUUGUUUGUAAUUCAGUACCUCUGUGGUACUGGUGAUGUUAUGGUAGGGCACUGACUGUGUCUGAAGAAGUUCCUCCAUUCGGUUUAUCUUCUCUCACUAUGGCUUCUUGUGACACCCAAUGGGAUGUAGCAAGAGAAGGAAGAGGUGCAACACUUUCCAGAUAUAGGGAACUGCUCCAAAAGUAAUGCCUCCUAUUUUAUUAUGUUGGCCUACAACAUCAGAAGUGGAUGUUGGUGGUAUGGCAGUUGAGGUUGAACCUUCCCACCAUGUGGUAUGCAGACUCUUGUUCAUUGCUGAUGAAAAUGCGUAGCUAAUGGUGGUGACUAUAUUGAAAAAGUGUUCUAUAGCUGAGAAUUUGCUCUAUCAAACAGUGUUAUUGUGCUCUUUGUAGCUGUUGUAGUUUCCAUGGAAAUAAAUAGAAGGCAUUACAUCCAGAGUGACCUGCGUAUAAAGAAGGAUUAAAAAAACCUUGUCCCCAACUUUUUUAUUUUGAGCAGUGGAAAUGUCAUAUCUUUCUUUCCCAAGAGAAAAAAAGCUCCUUCUCUUUCACAUGGCAUUUCUUUCACAAGCUUACGUGUUUCUUUUUGGCUUUACCACACUGUUCAUUUGUACCCACCAUGUAUUACUGAAGAAUCUGAGAAGAUAAAAAUGAACGUUCUUUGAAACAUUUG
ensembl:lncRNA